CCUACGGGUGGCAGCAGUGGGGAAUAUUGGGCAAUGGAGGCAACUCUGACCCAGCAACGCCGCGUGAAUGAUGAAUGUCUUCGGAUUUUAAAGUUCUGUGAUGAGGGAUGAACACAAUGCCGGUACCCCAAUAGCAAGCCACCGCUAACUACGUGCCAGGCGCCGCUGUAAUCCGUAGGUGGCAAGCGUUAUCCGGAAUGACUGGGGUUAAAGGGUGCGUAGGUGGUUUUGUAAGGUAGCGGUGUAAUUCAGGCGGUCAACCUCGGCGAUACCGCAAAAUCUAUUAGACUAGAGUGAAGGGGGGGGUAGGCGAAGUCCGAGGGUAGCGGUGGAAGGCGUAGAUAUUA
rnacentral:rRNA from 1 species